ensembl:snRNA Gm23502 predicted gene, 23502
AGUUCUUAUGAGUAAGGAAAAUAACGAUUCGGGGUGACGCCCGAGUCCUCACUGCUUAUGUGAGACGAAAUUUUGAGCGGGUAUAGGUUGCAAUCUGAGGCGACCCGCCUACUUUGCGGGAUGCCUGGGUAACGGGAUCUACCCG